GUUUAGGUAAACCUCAUCCUGGAUAAACAACAGUAAAGGUUAGGUGUUUAGGUAAACCUCAUCCUGGAUAAACAACAGUAAAGGUUAGGUGUUUAGGUAAACCUCAUCCUGGAUAAACAACAGUAAAGGUUAGGUGUUUAGGUAAACCUCAUCCUGGAUAAACAACAGUAAAGGUUAGGUGUUUAGGUAAACCUCAUCCUGGAUAAACAACAGUAAAGGUUAGGUGUUUAGGUAAACCUCAUCCUGGAUAAAGAAAUAGCAAAGGUCCAUGAUUAGGUGAUACACUAGAACCUGGAUUCAGCAACCUCUCAAGAGAUCCCGAUGAGGAAAAUGGUUGCUCAGGAUAGGGUCGGUCUACAAUGUCAAAAUUUAGAGGACUACAAAUGUAUCAUAUAGUGGCUGGUGAUUGGAGGUAGGUAGUUGACUGUACUACCACUAUGGGUGGUUGCCCAACCAGGUUUGACAGUUCACAACAAUAAAUUGCAAGAUACAUUCUCCAUCAUAAUGUAGAAUCUGAAAUUUGAAGAAAUGAC